rnacentral:rRNA from 1 species
AACCGGAUUAGAUACCUUGGUAGUCCACGCCCUAAACGAUGUCUACUAGUUGUCGGGUCUUAAUUGACUUGGUAACGCAGCUAACGCGUGAAGUAGAUCGCCUGGGGAGUACGGUCGCAAGAUUAAAACUCAAAGGAAUUGACGGGGACCCGCACAAGCGGUGGAUGAUGUGGAUUAAUUCGAUGCAACGCGAAAAACCUUACCUACCCUUGACAUGGAUGGAAUCCCGAAGAGAUUUGGGAGUGCUCGAAAGAGAACCAUCACACAGGUGCUGCAUGGCUGUCGUCAGCUCGUGUCGUGAGAUGUUGGGUUAAGUCCCGCAACGAGCGCAACCCUUGUCAUUAGUUGCUACGAAAGGGCACUCUAAUGAGACUGCCGGUGACAAACCGGAGGAAGGUGGGGAUGACGUCAAGUCCUCAUGGCCCUUAUG